UACGUAGGGGGCAAGCGUUGUCCGGAUUCAUUGGGCGUAAAGAGCGUGUAGGCGCCAGAUAGGUCGGUUGUGAAAACUGGAGGCUCAACCUCCAGACGUCGACCGAAACCCCUCUGGCUAGAGUCCGGAAGAGGAGAAUGGAAUUCCUGGUGUAGCGGUGAAAUGCGCAGAUAUCAGGAAGAACACCCGUGGCGAAGGCGGUUCUCUGGGACGGUAACUGACGCUGAGACGCGAAAAGCGUGGGGGAGCGAACAGGG
rnacentral:rRNA from 1 species